rnacentral:rRNA from 1 species
CCCAUGUGAACAUACCUAACGUUGCCUCGGCAGGUCGCACCUACCUUGUAGCACCCUACCCUGUAGGGCCUACCCGGGAGAUGCGGGUAAGCCUGCCGGCGGCCCACCAAACUCUGUUUGAUAUUGAAUUCUGAACAUAUAACUAAAUAAGUUAAAACUUUCAACAACGGAUCUCUUGGUUCUGGCAUCGAUGAAGAACGCAGCGAAAUGCGAUAAGUAAUGUGAAUUGCAGAAUUCAGUGAAUCAUCGAAUCUUUGAACGCAUAUUGCGCCCAUUAGUAUUCUAGUGGGCAGGACCGUUCGAGCGUCAUUUCGACCCUUAAGCCUUAGUUGCUUAGUGUUGGGAGCCUACGGCAACGUAGCUCCUCAAAGUUAGUGGCGGAGUUGGUUCACACUCUAGACGUAGUAAUUUUUUAUCUCGCCUAUUAGUUGGACUGAUCCCCUGCCGUAAAACCCCCAACUUAUCAAGGUUGACCUCGAAUCGGUUCAGACAAACUCGCUAAAUUGAAGCAUCUUAGUCAGCGAAGGAAAAGAAACCAACAGGGAUUGCCCUAGUAACGGCGAGUGAAGCGGCAACAGCUCAAAUUUGAAAUCUGGCCCUCGGGUCCGAGUUGUAAUUUGUAGAGGAUGCUUUUGGCGCGGUGCCUUCCGAGUUCCCUGGAACGGGACGCCUUAGAGGGUGAGAGCCCCGUACGGUUGGACACCAAGCCUCUGUAAAGCUCCUUCGACGAGUCGAGUAGCUUGGGAAUGCUGCUCUAAAUGGGAGGUAAAUU